AGAUGAAGGCAGAGAUCACAUGAUGCAGAGGAAGGCAGGAAGUGCUAAUGAUUUGCAGCAAACCACCAGAAGCUUGACAAGAGGCAUGGAGCAGAUGCUUCCUCACAGCCCUCAGAAGGAACCAACCCGCCAACCCCUUGAUCUCAGAUUUCUGGCCUCCAGAACCGCGAGACAGCAGAUUUCCAUGGCUUGAGCCGCCCGGUUUGUAGUACUUCAUUAUGGCAGCUCCAGCAAACAAAUACAGAUUUAUGACCUCGUCUACCCGACGAGGAUGCCUGGCCCAAGCUGGCAUACUAAGAGUUUUCCUGGAACUUGGGAACUGGGACAAAGAGGGACUAAGCCAGCAAGACCGAAAAGCAUGGCAGUCCCAGGACAGCCAUGAAAACCAUAUGUGAAUUAAUGAGUGAGCAGAUUGGAGCAGCAUUGUUUUGGACCCUAAGGACGUCACGUACAAAAUGCACUUAAAUCCUUGCCUCCUGGAGCUGAUGAUAAAGAAGAUGGACAAGUAAAACAUAUGGAAUGUGAAAUGGUGAUAAGAGUGAUGGAGAAAAUAAAACAGGAGAGGAGGUUGGAAUUGCCAGGCUUCAGAUUCAGCUUCUGUUUCCUGAGUGCCUCCACUAUACCAGCCAUUGGGCCAGGCAUCCAGAAGCCCUAAGGUAGACCUCAUCAUCCCUGUUCUACAGGAGAGGAAAACCAAGACUUGGCUACUACAGUAUACAAAGGGUGUGGAAAAGUCCUCCUAGAACCCUUACCCUGCUUCCAGGAGGAGCUGGACAGUUCUUUCCAAGUCCAGGCAGAAAGAAGUCUCCUCUUUUUCCAUUCUCUUUGUUACUUUAUAUGUCUGUGCAGGCUUGGUUGAGGAAGAAGGGGGGCCAGAAGGAAGUCUGGCCAGAUGGCAGGGUAAUAAAUGACUCUGACUUAAUAAUUUGUUGCUCUCCUCUUAAUUAAAAGGCUUUUCCCUAAAUGAUUUGCUGAUCACACAAACAGCACACACUAGUUGGGCGAGGACUGGGGGCCCAGGGAAAUCUAGACUGAGAGGAGAAGGCAUUGGAAUAAAGAGGUGGCAGAUGGCAGAAGAAGCCCACCCUCCAUGUCCCAGGGUGGGCCCAGCUUCAGGAGCUCCCUCCUCCUCAGGUCUGAAACAAUUCAAUCCAAUGAUAGAGCUUUGGGGGACUGGUUCUUCUUUCAGGCCUCAGCUUUUCUGGAAGCUGACUUUGCCAGGGGGCUUUUUAAUUUCUGGGAUGAAGAUAUAAGCUUUAUUUUAUCUAACACGUGGCUUUGCAUUCAGUUUCCUCAAAGCCCCAUGUGGCCUUGGGGGGUGAUCAGGUAGCCUUUGGACCAUUUUGCAUAUAAACUGUCACUUAUACACUUGAUCAACUGGGGUGGUGGUCAUAGAGGGGGACAGGGCACCCAUUGUUCCAAGCAGCGUCCUGUCAAUAUCUGCAGUUGCAAGCAAAUGACACUAGAUAGUGUCAAUGGAUAAGCUCUCUAUUGCAUCUUUACAACUGCAAUUUAUAAGUUCCUGGGAUUAAAAUCUGCUUUCCAGCAAUUAUCACACAGAGGUAUAUUUUCAAAGCCUCACAUGUAAUUAGAACAUGUUAUUGAUAAAGUGCUAGCUAAAGAUUUAGACUUUGAGUCUGUUCAUGAGGGAUCAGUUUUGUUAAUAUUGAUAAUGUUUUCCCCCUUUAAUGCAGUUAGGAGUUAGAUUGAGAUGCCAAAUUCAAUCAAAAUGCACAUCUUAUCCCCCGCCAAGGGACUUCUGGCUCUCUUUUACUUGUUCAGACUUGUAGAAAGGACCCCAGAGAUCGUGUCAUAUAGGAAAACAUCCUGCCAAUCUAUAACUCUAUGUUAAAGAAUAAACUCUUUUACACAUUAUUUUGGUUAACUAGAUUUUUCUCAGCAUUUGUGCUUCCAUCAGAUUGGAUCAUCCUUGCCAUAACCACCAUCUUCCUAUUAUUGCUGGAUUCCAAAUUUCUACUUAGCCAGUUCAGACACCACUUCAUCCGCUUAACCUUCCUGAUUCUGUAUUCCCUGUGUCUCCAUCAUCAGAGCUCCUCACUAAACCCCCAAGGCCAUUUAUCUGUGAUUGAUUGAUUGAUUUCUUUUUAGAGACGGAGUCUCACUAUGUUUCCCAGGCUAGAGCACAGUGUCUAUUCACAGGCAUAAUCAUAGCCCACUAAGGCCUUGAAUUCCUGGGCUCAAGCAACCCUCUUGACUCAGCCUCCUAAGCAGCUGGGACUACAGGCACACACCACUGCACUGAUCUUAUCCACAAUUCUUUUUUUAUUAUAUUUUCCACACAGGUAUUCUCUCUUCUCCUAGUCUUUAAGUUCCUUGAGACAAACUUUCUUUUUAGUGUUUGUAUUUCAUCUGUUGGCAACAGUAUCUUGCACACAAAUCAUAAAGACCAAGUUGAAGAGGCUUCUUACUUUGUUUCAUCAGUCUGCUAAUAUGUUAUCAAUAUCACACUAGUUUUAUUAUUGUAGCUUUGUAGUAUAUUUUAAACAUUAAUAGAAUAAUAACUUACAUUUAUUGAUUACUUAAUGUAUUCCAGGCAAUGAGCUAAGUGCUUUACAUGAUCUCAGGUAAUCCUAACAGGAAGUCUAUGGGAUAGGUACAAUUAUUUCCAUAUUACAGAUGGAAAAAACAAAAUUUAAAGAGAUGAAUUUACUCCAAGACAAAUGCAAAAAGUGCAGAACAGUGUAUAUAGCACACUGCCAUCUGUAUGAAAGGGAAGAUAAAUAAAUGUUUUUACUUAAAUGUGCAUAGAAU
rnacentral:lncRNA from 10 species